rnacentral:misc_RNA from 1 species
AACUGAUACUACCUGCGGGAACCUGCGGAGGGAUCAUUACCGAGUUUACAACUCCCAAACCCCUGUGAACAUACCACUUGUUGCCUCGGCGGAUCAGCCCGCUCCCGGUAAAACGGGACGGCCCGCCAGAGGACCCCUAAACUCUGUUUCUAUAUGUAACUUCUGAGUAAAACCAUAAAUAAAUCAAAACUUUCAGCAAUGGAUCUCU